UGACCGACGGUAACCAAUCCCAGGCCAGUGGAGGUGGGGUCCAUCAGCACUCUUGGCAGAAGAGCACCUCGAAUCUCUCUCAGGCCCAUCAGGAGAAGCAUCUGCAUUGGCUCCCAAAGCAGGCUCCACGUGAUUCUGUAGUCAUGGAAACCUACCACAUCCUGUCCACCUGGGAGGGGCUUGAUCGCUCCUGCCUGCGUGGCCACGCCCUCAGUGACCUCCAGCAGGAGGCUCUUCCCCUGAUCGAUCACUGCUGAGGCCAGGAUGCUGAUGCCAGCAGAGAGCAGCUCCAGGGCCACCUCCUGCAUUUCGGGCUCCUCGGGGCCCCCUGUCUGCAGGGGCCGGAGCGAGCCGUCCCACAGGGCCUCCGUCAGGGCCAGGAAGCGGGCGGC